rnacentral:rRNA from 1 species
UGGGGAAUCUUGCACAAUGGGGGAAACCCUGAUGCAGCGACGCCGCGUGAGCGAUGAAGGUUUUCGAAUCGUAAAGCUCUGUCCUAUGGGAAGAUAAUGACGGUACCAUAGGAGGAAGCCCCGGCUAACUACGUGCCAGCAGCCGCGGUAAUACGUAGGGGGCGAGCGUUGUCCGGAAUUACUGGGCGUAAAGGGUUCGCAGGCGGCAUGACAAGUCCGAUGUAAAAGGCGAAAGCUCAACUUUCGUAAGCAUCGGAAACUGUCAAGCUUGAGUGAAGGAGGGGCAAGUGGAAUUCCUAGUGUAGCGGUGGAAUGCGUAGAUAUUAGGAGGAAUACCGGUGGCGAAGGCGACUUGCUGGACUUCAACUGACGCUGAGGAACGAAAGCGUGGGUAGCAAACAGG